CUCAGUUAGCCACAGGGAGUCCAUUUUGUCUGUCAGCCAGGGGCAUACUUUAAAAUAACCCAGAGUCUCUUCCCCUUUCUGUCUGCUCAAAAAAGAUUCUGUGCAGCUCUUUUGAUCCUUGAUUCUUUGCAGAAUUGGAAUAUAGGGCAGAACUGGAACUUUGCAUCUAAACUUGGAGGAAAACAGAGCUUGGAAGACCGACAAGUGAACAGUUGAUAGUGUCCUGUUCUCCUGUUGUGUACACUGCCGAGGCAUUUGGAAACAAUUUGUGCCGAAGACAGAAAGUACACCUAACGUUAAGCUGAAAAAACUGGACGCUCCCAGCAAACUCACUUUGCAGACUCCUGGUUGUCAGAAGAAAACGCCAGAGGAUUUCACUUGGCAUUGACCUCUUACUACUUCCAGCCACUUACCCUGGGCAGUAGAAAGAAGGAACAGAAAGCAGAGUAGAUUAAGAGGAGCAAGUACAAAUGGCGUGGGACUUCAAAUCACCACCUAAGAUUACUUCUUUGAUUUCUGAAAAAGUAGGUCAAAGGAAGAUGUCAGGGCUUUGUUACAGGGUCAACUUCUCGAUGCUUGGCUCCUUCCUGUCUGAUAAGAACCAUCCCUCAGCCUUCAGACAAACAGGUGUUAAGUAUCUUUUCCUCAUCUAUCCUAGGCUUGUGGCUUAGAUCCCUCUAACACAAGACAAAUUAACAAGGGUAAAACAUACACAUUUCUUUAAUAUAAGUUUUACAUGACAUGGAAACUUCAAAAAUGAAGACCCACCCCCCAAACAGAGAAACCUGUGUAUUUUCAUGCUCAGGUUUGAUGAAAGUGUGAUUGGACAAAGGGAGUAUGAUGUCAUGGUAAUAAAUGGGGGGGAACUUAGCAAGGUCUGUUUGUCCAUAUUCUUCGUGGUGUUUCUGUGUCUUCCUUCCUUUUCUCUGGGAGUAAGGAGGGCACUUGUCACAUGAGGUCUUAUGACCUGCUUCAAGGUAGAAGGGAGAAUACAUGUAAAAGUGAACUUCCUGCUUCUGUGCUUUUCCCAAAUGCCAAGUUGCUAUAUUUUAAGGUAGCGUGUCCUGAACCCCAUCACAGGCUUUUGGUAGGCCUGCCCAGGUUCAGUAUGACCACUGGGGGUGAUCCACACGUGAACCAAAGCCAGAUCCCAACUACACAUGGGAGUUUCCUAAAAAGAAAUCCACCCUUAACAUCAUAU
rnacentral:lncRNA from 1 species